GAUGAACGUUGGCGGCGUGCUUAACACAUGCAAGUCGAACGAAGCACUUUAUUUGAUUUCCUUCGGGACUGAUUAUUUUGUGACUGAGUGGCGGACGGGUGAGUAACGCGUGGGUAACCUGCCUUGUACAGGGGGAUAACAGUUGGAAACGGCUGCUAAUACCGCAUAAGCGCACAGCAUCGCAUGAUGCAGUGUGAAAAACUCCGGUGGUAUAAGAUGGACCCGCGUUGGAUUAGCUAGUUGGUGAGGUAACGGCCCACCAAGGCGACGAUCCAUAGCCGACCUGAGAGGGUGACCGGCCACAUUGGGACUGAGACACGGCCCAAACUCCUACGGGAGGCAGCAGUGGGGAAUAUUGCACAAUGGGCGAAAGCCUGAUGCAGCGACGCCGCGUGAGCGAAGAAGUAUUUCGGUAUGUAAAGCUCUAUCAGCAGGGAAGAUAAUGACGGUACCUGACUAAGAAGCACCGGCUAAAUACGUG
rnacentral:rRNA from 1 species